CGUCAUAUGUCUGCCAGGUGUCUGAGUUGACGGGCUUAAAUACCUCGCAGCUUACCAGUACAGAACAACAUCACGGCCGCUCGGUGACGGAGUCCUUUGUCCUUUCAGCGUCCUUCCUUAGAUAACAGGAUCUCAUUGGUGCCAUCAAGUCCGGAUCAAGUGCAGCUGCAAUGUUCCUGGUGGGACUUAUCCUGGAUGAGAGGUUGUCCGAUGCCAUCUCCACGGCUAGCUGUACGGUGACGUCCAGAAUGAUCGGUGCUUCUGUAUACACCCUGCCAGAGGACCUGAAACUAAGAUAAGUUCUUGUUUGUUUUAUUGGGUGUAAAACGGAAACAUCUCGCAGAGAUCGAUGGGCUGGGAAUGACUUGUCGGUGGCAUGAUAAGAAGGAAAUAAUUUGCGCGGCCUUACAAAAAAAGCAAGAAGCCUGUCUUUAACUAAUUGAAAUUUCGCUUUGUUGCUUCCAGGACCCUAUUGGUGCCAUCAAGGUGACGUCCAGAAAAAUCGGUGCUCGGGUUUACGCCCAGCCAAGGAACCUGAAACUAAGUUAAGUACUCUUAUGUCUUAUGGGGUGUAAAAUGGAAAUAUAUAGCAGAGAUCGGCAUGAUAGGAAGUAAAUUAGUUGUGACGUUUCGUUAAUUGAAUUCUUGGUUGUAGGUAAGGUGCUUGAGUGUGUUCUGUUGACAUUCCGAGCGAUGUUGUCGGGAGGGGUUUACAUUAGGACAUUUUGUAAAUGGGGGCUCCUUUUGCAUUCAGGGCUUCAGUCCGUUUCUGUGGUGUACAGGCCUGGUGUGUGGCUGGUUUGGUUUCUGUGAUUAUGUCGAAGGCCGGAAUGGUAUUCGGUCAAUUUUUUCAAAUUCUGUUCUUUAUAAACAGGGUUUUCCCUGGUUCACCAUCUGUUGUCAUUUCUGUUUUAUGUCAUGGUCAGUGGUUGUCGGGGACCUAGACCAUAACAUAAUCUGCCUCGUGUUGUUUUCUUGGGUCCCGAACCAAGAGAACGGCACAGGCCAGAAAGGAGGACAGGUGGCUGAAGAGCCUAUUUAAUAUUAAUAGUUUAGUCGUUUAGAUAAAACUUGCCAUCUCGGCGUCGACAUAGUCACAGAAACUGAAUCAGCUAUGCAUUGGGCUUGUAUAUCACAGAAGCAGACUGAAGCAAUGAGUGCAGAAGUAGCAAUUGCUCUCGAAAAUUCAAGCAAAACAAAGGCAGCAUUAUGCCAAAAGCAGCAUUACUUAGGAUUUAACCAAAGCACACUCAACACCCUGCCAACAAACAAGAGGUAUAAUGAUUUCUCUCGCUAUUUCUAUGUUAAAACUAGAACUGAAAUUACAAUGACAAAACAAGUGAACUUCCUGUCAUGCCAAUACACGUAGCUGGGAUUUCUUUUAUGUAUAUUGUUAUGUAUAGUCUUCCCAUAUUUCUGGGUUAGGUUUAAUUUUGUCUCGUCUUUUCUCCCGAGGAUCAUCGCAAUGUAGAAGAAUUGUCUGGAUGCGGAAAGGGAGGCGAGGACUGGCGAAGGAAGGUGCCGAACGUGAGCGAACGGGCUUCACAGUCUUCUAUGACAAGAACUGUCUAGUUGGUAAGCGAGGAAAGGUGCUGGCUGGGAAUGGAGGUGUAAAGCGUCACCGCUACUGAAAGUGAUUCGUGACAGCAUCCGGUGCAUCACCAAGCCAAGGAGGCACAAGUGUUUCCCAACAUAGACAAGAAAUGUCCAGACGCCAUAAGGGAGGAGAGGUGCUGGUAAUGGAGGUGUAAAGCAUCACCGUCACUGACAAUAUCGUGCUUCGUGACAACACCGAGUGCAUCACCAAGGAGAUUAGGACUGGUUGAACAGUUAGGCUGUGAGUCAGAUGAUGCUUGCUCACCUUCCGGCCCAGCUCUUCUUCUGCACCUGUGUGGGAGGGAGGAAGCAGACCAUGAGACUGUUGAUAGUCACAAUAAGUUGGGAAGGAGACAUCUCUCAGCAGCUUCCGGGACCGCAUUGAUGCCAUGAAUUCCUGAUCAACUGCAGCUACAACGUUCAUGGUGGGACUUAUCCUGGUGAGAGAUUGUCCGACACCAUCUCCACUGUGACGUCCAGAAAGAUCGGUGCUCGUGUGUGCGCCCUGUGAUCUGAGUGAUUUAGCCAGUAGGGCGUUAGGACAUUUUGUAAAUGGAGGCUCCUUUUGCCCUCAGGGUUUCUGUGGUGUACAAGCUUGGUGUGUGGCUGAUUUUGUUUUUGUGACUGUGUCGAUGGCCAGGAUUGUAUUCAGUCAGUUACUGUUAAUUUUGUUCUUUAUAAACAGGGUUUUCCCUGGUUCACCAUUUGUUGUCAUUUCUGUUUUAUGUCAUGGUCAGUGGUUGUCGGGGACCUAGACCAUUACAUAAUCUGCCUCGUGUUGUUUUCUUGGGUCCCGAACCAGGAGAACGGCACAGGCCAGAAAAGAAGGCAUGUGGUUGAAAAAGCCUUCUUUAUAUUAGUAUUUAUGUCCUUUAGAUAAUGCUAGACUUCUUGGUAUCGACGCAGUCACAGAAACCGAAUCAAUACAAACAGAAUGCAAAGUGUACAAUUUUACAGUUAUCAUGUAUAACACGAUGUUAGAUACAUGUACAUAUAGUUCAGCUUGCUUACGUUAGGUGUUAGGUAUAGCUUUCCCAAUAUUUCUGAGUGAAGGUACAUUGGCUUUUUUUUUGGAAAGAGGCUUGGAGAUGUAAUGUUGUUUAGACGCUUUUUGUUAGCAGCCUCUGUUUCUGAGUGUAUUUGUUUGAUGCCAUUCCAGUACAGAGGUGGCUGACGCUAGAAUGUUUUUUUUUUUUGUGUUUUAUUUUAUUUUAUUGCCGCAGAAAAGUGGUCUACAUGUUGGAAUUCAGUAAAUGUCAGCAUUGUCCGUUUAUUGUGUAGAGGUUGUAGCCCUUUAAAUCAGUUGUUUGGAAAUUUCCCAAGUAACUGAGGCUAAGGCUGGCGCUGACACUAACACAAGAAGACACAUGCACACAUACACACUAACAGACUAACGCCACCAAACACAACAGUUUUGACGGACACUAAUAAUCAGCUGCCUUAGCCUUAGACUGAAACAAUUCUAUGAUUCUUUAAGUACAAAGGCUCCACGCUACCUCUAUACCAUGUACUGACAAUGUCAAUAUUUACUGAUUUUAGCUUUUUUAUCCACUAUGUCCUAGAGUGAGGGUAGUUGUAAACCUAAAUGAGUUAGAUGUUCAUUUUUUUUAUGCUAGAGUAUCUUCAUUUAUUAUGCAGUUCAUGUAUUAUACACUUUGUAUUUCUCUAUUUUGCUAUUAAACAAAUAUGCUGAAAUCG